rnacentral:lncRNA from 1 species
GUUCUCAUUUCCUAAAGAGAACAAUGAAAGAAAAAGGGUGAGCUCAAGUAGCCCAGUAAGAAAUAUUAUGACUAAGAUAAUGAAGAAUAAUUUAUCGUUAGCCUUUAACAGUGUUAAACUGAUAAAAUAUAACAAACAUCAAGUUUAACUGCAGCGGAACAAGCAAUCCAUUAGAAGAGUCAAGUAGAGAAUAAAAUCUACUAUCUUCUAUGAUUUAAAAGGUUUUUCAUCACUUUUAUCGCUGAGACUCAGCUUAAUAAAUAAUCCACAUCAUCCCUGCACUACGGCCAAGGAUAUUCAUUAGUAUCACGACCACAAAUUAUCCAUGCACUACGGGCCAAGGAUAUUCGUGUAUUCAUCAAUGGUCAUGAUCAUGCCAACAACUGUCCAUCAAUGCACUACGGGCUAAUUAGGACUUUUACCACAUCUUUUGUAACAUUACGGUCAUGAUUAUACCGAAUAAUCCCUGGUCAUAAUCAAACCAAGUCCAUCUAUGCACUACAUGCCACAGAUGACUUUCAUCAUAAUAUAAACAUGAGGAUGAUGACAAUGAUAUAAGAAUUCAAUUAAAUGAAAGCAAAGGAUAAAUUUUUAAAGAUUUAUAAUUUAAUUUAUCCAGAAAUCAAUAACGCCCAAAUUGUCAACAUGAUACUGCUUUGUGGGGUAAAAUUCAAGAAUAAUAUUGUACCAAAAAUGAUUUGGACCGAAAACAAAUCAAUUUUUAUCAUGAAUAGUGCCCCGGGUGAAUAGUAAUUCGGGAAUAGUACCCCGUGAAUAGUACUCCAGCAUAAAAGAGUUAAAACUUAUCAAAAAUACUCAGGAUAAUAUUUCCAUGAAAAGAUACUGGAUGAAACGCAAAUUUUAAGGAUAUUCUAUUAAUUUCAUGGAGUAUAGAAGCCAAAACUUUAACCAAAUGAGUAUAGAAUUCGAAAUCUAAAACGAAAUAAUAUUACUUACAUACUACAGAGUAUGGAAGAAAAUAUUAUUUUAAGCGAAUAUUGAAUAAAAAUAACAUUCCUUACCUUGAAACGAAGAGUAUUCCAACUGGUAGAGCGGAGAUAUUCUUGAAGAAAACUUUCAUUGUUUUCUACGCUCAAAAUUUCUAAAACUCAAAAGAAAUACGCUCAAUAAUAGAAGAAGAAUUCUCUGAUUCUGGUGUGAUUUUCAAUUCUAACUAAGAAUCCUAUUUAUAGGAGAAUGGAAAGGAUACUAUUUGAAUUUAGAAAUCACGGACUGCAUAGUGAAGAAUGCACGGGUGCUCAACCGGCGAAAAUUUUCUGAAUUUUGAUUUUUACUUUGCAUUACUAUGCAAUUAAAUAUUCUAAUAAAACAAAAACUUUAAAUAAAAUAUAAUAUAUUCUAUUUAAAAUCAAAUAAAACAAAAAUUAUAAAAUAUAUAUAUAUAUAUAAUUAUAACCUUUGCCUUACGGCAAAGGCAAGCCAGACAUUCACAUUCACAUUCACACACACACACAUACACACACACACACACACACACACACACACACAUAUAUAUAUAUACCACUCCAAUCCCUGAAUCCUUUCAUCCAAUCCUCCACAUAUUUCAUUUUCCUCCAGUGGGCCCCACAUGUGGCCCCCCUUUAUUACAUUAAAUAAUUUUCUACCGAUUAUUUGGAAAAAUAGGUAAAUAGGGGUCCAUAAAAUAAACAAAAUUUACAUCAAAUACUUUAUAAAAACCUCCUCAAUAUUUGUAACAACAUUUAUCAUCAUUAUUAUAAUUCAUAAUAUUUAACAACCAGGUUAUUCCCAGAAAAGAAGGGGCUUUUCAAUAAAGGUUUCUCCCUAUUGGCGCGCAAUUAGGUGACCAAACCUCUCAUUGACAGAACUUCUAGACAUCGUCAAUAUUGCAAAUAAUAAUAUUAAGGGUUAAGUUCAGAUCACCACCUGGGGUUUGGACAUUUUUCCCCUUAACCACCUGUAGUCAGUAAAGCUACAUUUAAACUCCCCACUUUUUGAGUUGAAGCGAAUAAAUGCUUUCCGUCUUAACUCUGUUACUUGAAUUGGCUAAAGACUUAAUUACCCUCCAUAUAUAUAUAUAUAUAUAUAUAUAUAUAUAUAUAUAUAUAUAUAUAUAUAUAUAUUAAAAAUGACAGUUGAGAACCAUGUUUAGUAAAGCUUCUCUUCAUUUCCUGCAAGUACCAGAGGCAAUUNNNNNNNNNNNNNNNNNNNNNNNNNNNNNNNNNNNNNNNNNNNNNNNNNNNNNNNNNNNNNNNNNNNNNNNNNNNNNNNNNNNNNNNNNNNNNNNNNNNNGCUCAUCCCAUUCAUUAAUGCAAACCCAAUUCAGAACUACAAAAAUAUCACCGAUUUUCAGACAUAAAGACCUAAAAAAUCAUCUACUACUCCUCUAAUUCACAUCCCAAAUCCCGAAGUCAAACCUCCCAGUGACAAUUGUUUAGAAAAUCGAUUAAUUCAGAUACACCCAGUGAAAGGAUAAGCAGAUACAUAAUUGAAUCUAGAAGAACAAUUACAGGAACAAGAAGGAAUUUCUAAUCGAGAUUGAAGAUGAGGAGCGGUAACAAUGGAAGAGUGAUUACAUUGGGUAGAAAAGGAUCUUCUCUCUCCAUCACAGCCAAAAAUCUGGUUCAACUGCUCCUGUUCUUUUCUUCUUUGGUUGCCGAAAAGUUUUUUUUUUCGCCCACACGCCUGACCAGCUCCGCCUCCUGCCACCAAGUAGCACCAGUAGUCUCGGGGGGUUUAUGUCCGAGUCCUACGAUUGUUCACCGAGUCGACUCAGUAUUGACUCAUUCUUGGGUAAGCCUUCGUUUGGGUCGUCUCUUACUUCGACUCUGUACUCUCCACCGUCCUCGCCGCCGACGACUGAGUCUCCACCAAUGUCACCGUGUGGGUCGCUGGGGUGUUCAAAUGGGUUCUGGGUUUGGUUCCCCUCGGACGUCGUCAACCCUUCGACCCGGAUUCAUCAGCCUUCCAGCUACCCCAACUUGGAAUCUGACUCGAUCAGGACUCGGCGUGUUCGAGCUUUGGGAUCAGUCAUGUGAGGAAGAGCCUGUGAUGGAGAGGGUGGAGUCUGGAAAAGUCUGGUUCAGAUCAACUUUUUUGGGUCUUCUUAGAUUUGCACAAAAACUGAAUUGAUCCAAUCAUUUUUACACAUUUGCAUUACAUCCUUGGUGGGUUUUGAUCUUUGAUGAUCGAAGAAAAAUUAUAGAGGAGAGAAUUGGGGAUUGUGAUUUGAGGUGUGAGAAAUGAGAGAGAGAGGACGCAUGGUUUGAGGAGUGAGAAAUGAGAGAGGAUUGUGGUUUGAGGAAGAAGAAAGGGGUAUUUCGGACAUUUACUAGUCUUUUUUGAUUGUUAUAGUCCCUUUUCACGCGCUUUUGGCGCCUGAUAUACACGCACGGUUAAGUUGGAUGGAAAAGGUAACGUUUUCACUUUAACUCAAAAAGUGGGGAGUUUAAAUGUAGCUUUACUGACUACAGGUGGUUAAGUGGGAAAACGCCUAAACACCAGGUGGUGAUCUGAACUUAACCCUAAUAUUAAUAACUUUUUCGUCUCAAUUAUUGAUUUAAUAAUAAAAAAUAUUAUGCAGAUGAUACUGUGACAAUAAUUGAAUCAAUAAUAUGAGAGAUAUGAUGCAGCAAUUACUGUAGCAAUAAUUGAGUAUAACUGAGUGACUUCUCACGUAAGCAUCAAUAAUCAAUACCGUGUGCUACUAUGCAACCACGCGUAUUACUGUACUUUUAACACUGAUUAUUUUAACAUUUAACGGUAAAACUUCUGCCGUUAUUUUCAUAAAAAGAUAUUUAUGUCGUUUUCCCAUUCCAACAAUAAUUACGUUGUGGGGUCCACCAAUGAUUGUGCCGUCGUACGAAUAUUCCCUGUUAAAACAAAUAUUCCCCGACUAAUCGAAUAUUAUAUAACAACUUGCUUAUUUUGCAAAAUUUAUAAAUAUUACCCACAACUAUAACAUUAUUUCAAAUUAACAUCUUAAUAUUCAAAAAUGUUAUUUAUAGAAAAAUUCAUCUUUAUUCAUAAAAGUUGGGGUCUUACAAUAAUGUUAUCUAAUAAUAUUAUUCAAAUAAUAUAAAUGAUUGAUUUGAUAAUUUGAAAUACUAUGCAAUGACAAUUAUUGAAUCAACAAUAUAAAAUAUCAACGUAACAAUUAUUGAAUCAAUAAAAUAUUGAAUAGUAAUUACUGUGCUAAUUAUUGAGUAGUGACUUCUUACGUAAGAAUCAACAAUUAGAAUUAUUGUGCAAUACCGUGUGCUACUGUGUAACACCGCGUAUUACUGUAUUUUAACUACCGGGAUUUCAACAGUUUAACGGUGACAGUUUUACCGUUAUUUUUUUUAUAAAAAGGUUAUUUAUGUCGCUUUCUAUAUCCGACAUUCAUUCCGUGGUAGGAAAUUAAGAUUUUAUUCAUAAAAGGUUGGGGUCUAACAAAAAUGGUGUUUCAAACUAAGAUUUCGUAUUUUAUCAAGAGUUCAAUUGUCUUAAUCUUUCAAUUUUACUUAAAAAAUUUACUCCACGGAUACUUAUUAAAAUUAACCCAAAUCAUGAAGACUCAAACAAUUUUUUUUUCUUUCAAAUUUAAAUUAUUUUUUUUUGUGUUUUUCUUAGUUCCUUAAUAUAAUACAUAAGUAAAAAUAUAAUUAUAAUAAUGCAAUGAAUAAAUAAAAAUAAUAAAAAUGCAAAACUGCCCCCAUAUCUAAAUUAUGUAUUGUCCUCAAUGUAAACAAAUGAAAAAAAGAGAAUAAAGAUGUGAAAGAAUUGUAACUUGUAUGGUGGGGUAGGAACCGAAUGAAAAUAUUGUACAAAAGAAAAAUAUAUGUAGAAACUUACAAAGACAUGUGCAAUGCCAGUCAUUUGGAAUAAUAUUGGUCAACAAGGUACACCACCUCCUCUGGUUCGUUUGACAUUUUUAAAAAGGGAUUGGUUCGUUGACCAUUCACUUUGAAAAUUUAUCAACUCUUUGAAUUUUCAAUAUCGCCUUGCCCCAUGAGGGUAAACUACCUUUACUACAAAAGGUCCAUCCCAUCUAGAACGUAAUUUUUUAGAAAAUAUAGCCUAGAGUUAUACAAAAGAACUUGGGUUAAAUGAUUUUUAAGUCACUGUACUAUAGGUCGACUUACAAAUGGGUCACUGAACUUUUUUUUCUUACAGUCAACUCAUUGAACUUUAGUUUACUAACAAAAAGUUUAAUAUCCCGUUAAAGAUGUUGACUUUGGACGAAAAUUACCACAUAAGUUGCUGACGUGGCAAUUUUUUUUGAUGUGGCACAGAUCUGUCCCAUGUGACUUUCAUGAUGUUAAAAUGGAGGAGAAUUUACAAAUGUAAUAAUAUAAAUUUACAUAAAACGCAAUUUUUUUAAUAAAAAUUUUUAAAAAACGUAAUUUUUUUAUAAUAAAAAUUACAAAAAUUCAGUUUUUUUAAUAAAAAAAUAAUUAUUAUUUUUAUUCUUUUAAAAAAAACAAACAACGCUCUCUCUCUCCAUCUCCUUCUCCGUCACAACAACGCAGUUUGGUUUUUAAAAAAUAAAACACCGUUUUUUUAAUAAAAAUAAUUAUUUUUAUAAUUAAAAAACACAAUUAUUUUUAAUAAAAAUAAAAAAAGCACAGUUUUUUUAAUAAAAAGAUAAUAAAACAAAUUUUUUUAAUAAAAAUAAAAAAAAGUGUAGUUUUUUUUUUUUAAAAUAAAUCUUUUGAAUGAAAUUUUUUUUUAAUUAAAAAAAAUGAAGUUUUUUAAAAUAAAAAAAAUCAAAUAAAAUAGUUUUUUUUAUUAAAAAAACUGCAUUUUAUUUAUUUUUAAAAAAAAACCUGUUUUUUUUAUUUUUAUUAAAAAAAUAGUUUUAUUUUAUUUUUUUUAUUUAAAAAAAACUGCAUUUUAUUUUUUUUAUUAAAAAACUGCAUUUUAUUUUUUUAUUUAAAAAAACUAGAUUUUUUUAAUUAAAAAUAAAUUUUUUUAUUUAAAAACUGCAUUUUAUUUUUUUUAUUUAAAAAAUUGUGUUUUUUUACUUUUAUUAAAAAAAAAGUUUUAUUUUAAAAAAAUUGCAUUUUAUUUUUUUAUUUAAAAAAACUGCGUUUUAUUAUUUUUUAAAAAAACUGUGUUUUAUUAUUUUUAUUUAAAAAAACAGUUUUAUUUUAUUUUUUUAUUUAAAAAACCUGCGCUUCUUUUUAUUUUUUAUUAAAAAAAUGCGUUUUAUUAUCUUUUUAUUAAAAAAAACUGUGCUUUUUUUUAUUUCUAUUAAAAAAAAGUGUUUUUUUUAUAUUAAAAAUAAUUAUUUUUAUUAAAAAAAUUUGUGUUUUAUUUUUUAAAAACCAAACUGCGUUGUUGUGACGGAGUAGGAGAGAGAGAGCGUUGUUUUUUUUUAAAAAUAAAAAUUAUUAUUAUUUUUUUAUUUAAAAAAACUGCGUUGUUUUUAAUUUUUAUUGUAAAAAAACUGCGUUUUUUAAAAAAUUUUAUUAAAAAAAUUGUGUUUUAUGUACAUUUAUAUUAUUACAUUUGUAAAUUCUCCUCUAUUUCCACAUCAUGAAAGCCACAUGGGACAGAUCUGUGCCACAUCAAAAAAAAAUUGCCACGUCAGCAGCUUACGUGACAAUUUUCGUCCAAAGUCAAUAUUUUUAACGGAAUAUUAAACUUUUUGUUAGUAAACUAAAGUUCAGUGAGUUGACUGUAAGAAAAAAAAGUUCAGUGAUCCAUUUGUAAGUCGACCUAUAGUACAGUGACUUAGAAAGCAUUUAACCCAAAAGAACUUUUUAACAAGGUGAAAAUGAUUUUCUCAAAAUAAAUUUUUCAUGAAACACUUUGUUUCCUUAUAAAUUUUAGCUUUUUCAUAAACAUCAUUCAUAAUCUCAUCUAACUCGGCUAAUUGCAAUUAUUUACGACUCCCACCCGUGGACAUCAAAAUUCAAUACUUUUAUGGCCCACAAAGCGCAAUGUUCAAGUUCAUCAGGUACGUUACAAGAUUUCCCAAAUACAAGCCUAUAUGGUAACAUUUCUAAAUUAGUCUUAAAAGCAGUACGAUAAGCCCACAAUGCAUCUAACAAUUUUAGAAACCAGUUUUUUCUAUUGGAAUUAACUGUUUUUUCCAGGAUUUUUUUAUUUACCUAUUCGAGACUUAUACUUGAUCACUUAUUUAAGGGUGAUAUGUGAUGAGUGGGUUUCAUACCCAUUUCUAAAUAUUAUUUUCGUUUAAUAUUCGUAAGGAGUAUUAUUUUCGUUCAAUAUUCGUAAGGGAUAUUAUUUUUGUUUAAUAUUCGUAAGAAAUAAUAUUUUCUUUCAUACUCGGUAGUAUGCAAGUAAUAUUAUUUCGUUUUAGAUUCCGAUUUCUACACUCAUUUUGUUAAGUAUUGCUUCUAUACUCCUUGAAAUCAGUAGAAUAUCCUUGAAAUUUGCAUUUCAUCUAGUAUCGUUAUGCAAGAAUAUUUUUCUGAAUAUUCUUGUUAAAUUUUGAUCUUUUCAUGCCGAGGUACUAUUCACGAAGUACUAUUCACUCGGGUACUAACCCGGGGUACUAUUGAUGACAAAAAUUAAUUUCUUUUCUGUCCAAAUUAUUUUUAUAUGAAUAUUAUUCUUGAAUUUUACUCCACAAAGCAGUUAUCAUGUUGACAAUUUGGACAUUAUUGCAUUCUGAAUAAAUUGAAUUAUAAAUCUUUAAAAUUUAUCAUUGCUUUCACUUAAUUGAAUUCUUAUAUCAUUGUCAUCAUCCUCAUGCUUAUAUUGUGAUAAAAUUCAUCUUUGGCCCGUAGUGCAUAGAUGGAUUGUUGAUUGGUAUGAUUAUGACCAAGAAUUAUGUAUCGGUAUAAUCAUGACCCGUAAUGUUACAAGUGAUGUGGUAAAAGUCCUCAUUGGCCCGUAGUGUAUUGAUAGACAGUCGUUGGCAUGAUCAUGACCAUUGGUAAUAAUAACGAAUAUCAUUGGCCCGUAAUGCAUGGAUAAUUCGUGGAUGUGAUACUAAUGAAUAUCAUUGGCCCGUAUUGCAUGGAUAAUUCAGUGAUGUGGAUUAUUUAUUGAGUUGUGUUACAGCGAUGAAAUAUUGAUGAUGAACUUUUAAAUCUUAGAAGAUAGUAGAUAUCAUGCUCUACUUGACUCUUCUAGUGGAUUGUUUGUUUCGCUGCAAUUAAACAUGUUGUCUAUUGUAUUCUAUCAGUUUAAAAUGGUUGAAGGCUAAAUAUAAUUUAUUCUGCAUUAUCUUAGUCAUAAUAUUCUUUACUAGGCUAGUUGAGCUCACCCUUUGCUUUCAUUGUUCUCUUCAAGAAAUGAAAAUAUAGUUGAGACUAGUCGGGGAACAGGGGUGAUGAUCUGAGAUGGUGACUAUAGUAGUCCUCACUAUUCUAUAAAAUAGUGUGAUAAUAAUUGUAAUGAGGACUCUAUUUGAGUUUGGAUAUUGUCUACGAGACGAUAUUCGUGUUAAAACUCUCAGCUUACGUUUGUUGUAUUGUAUUAAUGAAGUUUGUAUUUGAAUUUUGUACCAUGUAUUUGGCGACUCAGAAUGGGUUGUGUAUACCUAUUUUGGGGGCGUCACAGUUGGUAUCAGAGUUUAGGGAUAUGAUCCCUGGCUGAGAUUUGAGGCUAGAACUAGGAGGGAAGAGACGGGUAAAUCCUUUGCUAGUAUGACCUACCUAAGCUUAUUUGUUAAUUAAUUGGUCGGUCGGAAUAUAGGGAUAAUAUGUGGCAUGUCAAUUAACCCUUGUUUUGUGGCAGUGUUUGAGAAUGACAUCUGAAAUUAUUGAGAUAAGCAAUGGAGCACAUGAGACCAUUGAGUCACCGCCAAUCAAUAACCAGGAUAAUGUGCAUCAAAAAGGCAAUAAUCCUCGUGUAAACAACAACACCAACCAAAUGACGAACGAUGGUACAUUUAGGAGAUUUUUAGAAUUCAUGCAACACCAAACGAGAGAGACUCCUAUUUAUAAUGCAGGUGGAGUCAAUGGCAACUCACGGUUGGUCACUGCUAAGCAAUUCAAGGAGCUGGGACCACCAGAAUUUUUUGGAAAGCCAGAGCCACUUAAGGCAGAGGCAUGGAUUAAGCGGAUCACCAAGAUAUUUGAUGUCUUGGGAUGCUCCGAGGAGCAAAAAGUUUCCUUCGCCACUUUUAUGUUGCGUGAAGAAUCAGAUUACUGGUGGGAAUUUGUAAAAUGUACUCAUCUUUCCGCAUUAAAGAUAUCUUGGGAGAAUUUUCAAGAAUUGUUCAACGACAAGUACUUUCCCGAAAGUAUUCGUCACAUGAAGGAGGUGGAAUUCAUAAAGAUGGAGCAAAAUAAUAUGACCGUGUCGCAGUACGAGGCUAAGUUUGCCGAGUUGUCUCGGUUUGCAUCCCAUUUGGUAGAUAAUGAGGAACGAAUGAUGUGAAUGUUUCUGCGAGGUUUGAAACCCGAAAUACGUCAAUACCUCAUUUCUUACAAACUCUGUUUGUAUUCAGAUGUUGUGAAUAGGGCCCAGUUAUUAGAACGCGAUUAUGAGUCAGCUCAACCAAAAGGCAACGACCAACAACACGAUAAUAAUCGUAACGGUGGCAACGGCCAUCGGAACAACGAUAACCAUCGUGGAGGAAAUUAUCAUGCCAGAAAUGGUAACCACUUUUGUGGUAAUCAUGGCCAAGAUAAUAGGAAAGGUGAACUAAGUGAGAAUAACUUUGAGAAGAUAAGAUUCAACAAUGACGGAAAGACGUCGGCACCAGCACCCGUUUCCAAAGAAGAAGAACGACCACCGGUCGUAUGUUACAAAUGCGAAAGGGAGGGAUACAACAGUCCAAACUGUACGCAACAAUCGAAAGCGUAUUAGAAUUACGAAAGAGAAGGUCACCUAGCCUGAUUUUGUCGUGUAGUGAUGACAAGUCCAGCUGGGAUUGAGACACCAAAGGCCGUCCUAGACAAGUUAAAGUCGGUAGUUUAAGGGAGAGCAUUUUUCGUGAUGAGGAACCCGAACAAAGUUAUCACGGGUAAGAUAAUCAUAAACUCUUACAAAGUUUAUACUUUAUUCGACACCGGUUCUACCCACUCUUUUAUUUCACCUAAUUGCGCUCAACGUUUAAACUUGACUCUAGAGAAAUUAGAUUUUGACUUAUCUGUUGAACCUCCAUUGGGAGAAACCUUCGUUACAUCUACUGUUUAUAAAUCUUGUGUGAUUCAAAUCGACACUUUCACAUUACCAAUUGAUCUCAUCUCUUUAAAAAUAAUUGCAUUGAUGUGAUUUUAAGAAUCGACUGGUUAACUACUCAUCAUGCUAAAAUUGAUUGUUUUCACAAGGUUAUUAGCUUUCAUAUUCCUAACCAACCUAUUAUUCGAAUUCAAACAACCAAACCACUAAAGUCAAUCACUGUCAUAUCAAGCCAUAAGUAAAGAGCCCCGAGCCUUUCGCUGGUGACUUCCUUAUGUGGGAUGUACCAAAGCCAGAUUUUUCGUUGGUGAUGCUGUGAAUAAAUGGCGGCAAGUUGAUAGGUAUCAUUGUGAGGUGAUAUCCAAGUCAUGGAUGAGAGUCACAGUUUUGAAUGAUAUUUCUAUUGUUAAUAAAUUUCAUGACAUAUUCCCCAAAUAACUUCUUGGCCUACCCCCAGAACGUGAAAUCGAAUAUUAAGAAGAAGGUGCAAGAAGACGUUAUUAUAGAAGCAAGAAUCGACGAAGAGAGGAAAUCUCAACCCUCGAUUUAUUGGUCUAUUCAAAAUCCUUGAUUGAGUAAGAACUGUGGCCUAUAGACUAGCCUUACUGCUAAGUAUGUUGCGUGUUCAUAACGUUUUUCACGUAUCGAUGUUACGUAAAUAUGUGGAUGACCCGAACCACAUUAUUGAAUUAGAACCAAACGAGAUAUCAGAAGAUUUAAUGUAUGAAGAGGUACUUAUUUAAAUCUUUGAUAAGAAGGAACAUAUUCUACGCUCCAAGGUUAUACCUCAAGUCAAAGUUUUGUGGAGAAACCACGAUGUUGAGGAAAUGACCUGGGAGUUGGAAUCUGAAAUGAAAUCAAGGUAUCUUCACCUCUUAGAUAUACCAGGUACGUACACCAAUUUCUAGGACGAAAUUUCAUAAGCAGGGGAGGUUGUAAGAUCCCAACUUUUAUGAAUAAAAAAUUAAUUUUCUCUAAAUGUUAUUUUGAUUAAUAAGGUGUGAUUUUGAUAUAAUGUUAUAGUUGUGGGUAAAAUUUACAAAUUUUGCAAAGUAAGAAAGUUGUCAUAAAAUAUUCGAUUGGUCGGGAAAUAUUCGUUUUAUCAGGGAAUAUUCGUACGACGACACAAUCAUUGGUGGACCCCACAACGGAAUUACUGUCGGAGUUAGAAAAUGACAGAAAUAACUUUUUAUAAGAAUAACGGCAAAAGUUUUACCGUUAACUGUUGAAAUACCCGGUGAUAAAAGUACAGUAAUAACCGUGGUUGCAUAGUAGCACACGGUAUUGUACAGUAUUUUUGAUUAUUGAUGCUUACGUGAGAAGUCACUCAGUUUUAUUCAAUUAUUGCCACAAUAAUUGCUGCAUAAUAUCUCUCAUAUUAUUGAUUCAAUUAUUGUCACAGUAUCAUCUGCACAAUAUUUUAUAUUAUUAAAUCAAUAAUUGAGACGACAAAGUUAUUCAUAUUAUUAUUUGCAUUAUUGACGAUGUCUAGAAAGUUCUAUCGAGGAAAGGGGUUUGGUCACCUAAUUGCGCGCCAAUAAGGAGAAGUCCUUAUCGGAAAGCCCCCUCUUUCCUGGGAAUGAUCUGGUUCUUAAUAUUGUGAGUUAUAAUAUUAAUGAUGAAUAAAGAUUAUGUUAAUUAAAGAUAAGAAUAAUAAUUGAUGAGUGGAAGAUGUUUGUUCAAUUAUCCUUUUAAAUUGGUGUUUGUUCAUUAUUCUGUAUGUUAGGAUAUUAUUGGCCAACUUUUCAAAUAAUGCAGCUAUUGUUCACUGCCUUAUGAAUGAGGGCGCCCCCUCAUUGGUCCAUAUAUCCCAAACUCAAUUACCUUCAAAAGAGGGCGCCCCCUCAUUGGUCUACAUCUCCCACUUUGCUAGUUACCGUAAUGGGAGGGCACUCUCUCAUUGGUUGACUCAAAAAUGUGCUGAUAAAUUGCGCCCGUGAAUUCUUUUUCCUGUGCAGUCCGUGAUUAUUUUCUUAAAUAAUAUCCUGUCAUUCUCUUAUAAAUAGGAUGCUAGUUUAGAAAUGAAAAGCACACCAGAAUCAAAGAAUUCUUUUUCUAUAAUAUUGAGCGUAUUUCUUUUGAGUUUAAGGAAGCUUUGAGUGUAGGAAACAGUAUAAGUUUUCUUCAAGAAUAUUUUUGCCCUACCAGUCAGAAGUACUCUCCUUUUAAGUUAAGGGGUUUCAUAUUCGCUUACGAUAUUAUUUUUCGUAUUCAUAAGGAAUUUUAUUUUUGUUCAAUAUUCGUAAGGAAUAUUAUUUUUGUUCAAUAUUCGUAAGGAAUAUUAUCUUCUUUCAAUAUUCGUAAGGAAUAUUAUUUUCGUUCAACGGUCGUAAGGGGUAUUAUUUAUUUCAUAUUCGUAAGGAAUAUUAUUUUCGUUCAACGGUCGUAAGGGGUAUUAUUUAUUUCAUAUUCGUAAGGAAUAUUAUUUUCGUUCAACGGUCGUAAGGGGUAUUAUUUAUUUCAUAUUCGUUUACGAUAUUAUUUUUCGUAUUCAUAAAGAAUAUUAUUUUCGUUCAAUAUUCGUAAGGAAUAUCAUUUUCGUUGAGUAUCCGUAAGGGAUAUUAUCUUCGUUUAAUAUUCGUAAGGAAUAUUAUUUUCGUUUAAUAUUCGUAAGGGAUAUUACUUUUGUUCAAUAUUCGUAAGAAAUAAUAUUUUCUUCCAUACUCUGUAGUAUGUAAGUAAUGUUAUUUUGUUUCAGAUUCUGAAUGCUACACUCAUUUUGUUAGGUAUUGCUUCUAUACUACUUGAAAUUAGUAGAAUAUCCUUAAAAUUUGAGUUUCAUCUAGUAUCGUUAUACAAGAAUAUUUUUCUGAACAUUCUUGUUAAAUUUUGAUCUUUUCAUGCCAGGUUAUUAUUCACGGAGUACUAUUCACUCGGGUACUAUUCACCCGGGGUACUAUUCAUGAGAAAAAUUGAUUUCUUUUUUGUCCAAAUUAUUUUUACGUGAAUAUUAUUCUUGAAUUUUACUCCACAAAGUAGUUAUCAUGUUGACAAUUUGAACAUUCUUGAACUUUGAAUAAAUUGAAUUAUAAAUCUUUAAAAUUUAUCCUUGCUUUCACUUAAUUGAAUUCGUAUAUCAUUGUCAUCAACCUCAUGCUUAUAUUAUGAUGAAAGUCAUCUUUGGCAUGUGGUGCAUAGAUGGAUUGUUGAUUGGUAUGAUUAUGACCAAGAAUUAUGUAUCGGAAUAAUCAUGACCCGUAAUGUUACAAGUGAUGUGGUAAAAGUCCUCUUUGGCCCGUAGCGCAUGGAUAAUUCAGUGAUGUGGAUUAUUUAUUGAGCUAUGUUACAACGAUAAAAUAUUGAUGAUGAACUUUUAAAUCAUAAAAGAUAGUAGAUACCAUGCUCUAAUUGACUCUUCUAAUGGAUUGUUCGUUCCGUUGCAGUUAAACUUAUUUUCUAUUGUAUUCUAUCAGUUUAAUAUUGUUGAAGGCUAACGAUAAUUUAUUCUGCAUUAUCUUAGUCAUAAUAUUCUUUAAUGGGCUAGUUGAGCUCACCCUUUGCUUUCAUUGUUCUCUUCAGGAAAUGAGAAUAUAGCUGGGACUAGUCGGGGAACGGGGUGAUGAUCUGAGAUGGUGGCUAUAGUAGUCCUCACUAUUCUAUAAAAUAGUGUGAUAAUAAUUGUAAUGAGGACUAUAUUUGAGUUUGAAUAUUGUCUACGAGACAAUAUUCAUGUUAAACUCUCAGCUUACGUUUGUCGUAUUGUAUUAAUGAAGUUUGUAUUUGAGUUUUGUACCAUGUAUUUGGCGACUCAGAAUGGGUUAUGUAUACCUAUUUUGGGGGCGUCACAAGUAAGAUGUCUUAUGCUUCGACAAUAUUAUCUAUCAUAUAUGGGAUGAUAUGUAAGAGACCUGUUAUUGCUUAUGCACUGAGUGUGACAAGCAUAUAUUAGUCACAUUAUGGAGAAAAAAGUACUUAAAAAAGACUAAGAAUGUAUUUCUAGUGUAUGGUGGGUCCGAUUUGAAAUUAAAGGGCUAUACAGACUCAAAAUUUUUAGACCAACCAAGAUGACAACAAAUCCACCUCAAGUUAUGUGUUUACCUUAAAUGGUGGUGCAAUGAGUUAGAAAAGUUCCAACCAGCAAACGGUUGUUGAUUCAAGUCUCAUCAGAAAUCCAAGUAUGUGUUGCGGCGCUUUCAUUUGAUUAGGGAAAUCAUCGAAAGAGAAGAUGUCACCUUGGAUGAAAGUAAUAUGCCCUCAAGCCAAUCACAUUGGAUGUGAUAAUCAUUUACUUUGUAAUCUUGUUCAUUUAUUAAUAAGAAAAUUUAUAUAAUACAGUAGGCAUUCUUUAUCCAUGUUAAUUAGUUAAAUUAAUAAAUGUGACAAACUCAUAGUUUUAGAGCAAUGCUUUUAGAAUCAUGAUGUUGAUAAUGCUAAUGAGAUCUAAGUUCUAGAUAGCUCUAAAACUAGAGUGUUCCUAAUCGUAUGGAUUGCUAAUGUGAGGUUACUGAUUCCAGAUAAAUUAGUACAUACUAUACUUGCUUUGUUGAAAAGGAUGAUUGAUCUCAUAAUCAUUUGUGUGGAGACAGUAAAGAAAGUAUGUAAGUGUUUAUUUGAGAAUAAUUUCACUGAACGUGAUUCACUUAAAGGAACCCUAAUGAAGUUUUACUUGUUUGACAAUAGGAGCUCCUAUAGUGAUAGUUGUACAAGUUGUCAUUGGACUUGAGAUCAUCAUAGUAACUUGUAUAUUCUAAAUUAUACUUUAUCAUCUUCCUUAAUACUUAAAAGUAUGUUGUAGGGUAUGUUCGAGUAUAAUAAAGUAUACAUGGAUGUAGGUGAAUGAUCAACAAAGGAUCUACCACUUCUAGUAAAGGGAGAGAAUGUAUUAUGCGAUUCGAUGAAUGACAACUCUGAUUUAAAUUAAUCAGAGUUAUGCAUUUUAAGAAAAGAAAUGCAUAUGAUUAAAUAAAUAAGACUUGUUAGUAAUUUCAUGUCUUAUGUUUAAUCGAGACAUUGUACAGUAGAAGGAUUGAAUUAUACGGUAACUAUUCACAUAAUAGGUUCUUUGUAUUCUUUGUGAUAAUAUUUAUGAUUUACAUUGAAUUCAUAUUAUCUGGAUAAUCAUGAUAAAUUAUUUAUAAGGUGUCACUCAUGAUGUAAAAUAAAUAUUAUUUAUUUAUAUUUGAAUUAAAGGAGUUUAACUCAUUAUAAAUAAUAUUAGAAUUGUUCUAAUUUAUUUAUUCUAUUACACUGACUUAAUAUUGAACCUAGAGGGUCACACCACAAAAGGGAGAAAUAUGAUUUUAGAAGUAAUUGACUUAAUAAUAAUAAAUUAAGUGUAUUUAAUUUAUUAGUGGAAUAAAUUAAAUAGCUUAAGAUUUAUAAUUAAGUAUGGAGAAAUGCUAAUAUUAUAAAUUAAUAAGAUUAGUCAACUUAUUAUUAUUAUUAUUAUUAUUAUUAUUAAAUUGACUAAAUAAUAAUAAUAUAGUAUUUGAAGAAAUACUACUAUUUAUAAUUGAGUAUUUGGAGAAAUACUUGAUUAUAAAUAAAUAAAAGGAGUCUUAUUAUUAUUAUUAUUAUUAUUAUUAUUAUUAUUAUUAUUAUUAUUAUUAUUAUUAUUAUUUAGUUCCUAAUAAGAUUGGAAAUUAAAUUAAAACCCUAACUUUUAAAAGGUUUAGGAUUAGGGUUAGUCUAUAAAUAAGAGGAGUCUUAUUGUGGGAUAGACUAAUGCAACUUUUGCAAUUUGCAUCUCUCUUGCAAGCAUUCUCAAAACCCUAAGGAGUUAGGAUAGAGAGAAUUAGGGUUAGCCACCCAAGAACUAGUAGAAUCUAAAAUGACAUCUUCAAUCUAUUCCUCUAGGUGGAUACCUCUUGGGCGUUGCAUACACUUUGUGACGAACGUGUGAUCCGGAUAUUGGAGAGAUCCCGAAGAAGAAAAGAUUGGAAUUUGAAGUCUUCAUCAAAGGUUGACACGCUUCAAAUGUAUAUCUUUAUCCUUUUUCAAUUAAUGAUGUUUCAGAAGGCUAUACAUUGGGAUUGCUAAAAAAAAUUUAAAUUUCUACUUUGCAUGCUUCCGUUGUUAUUUCAAUUAGAUUGAAUGAUUUGAUCUUGUUUCAGCAAUCCUAAAUUGGAGAUAGUAGACUCUCAGAAUAACAUUGCAGAUCCAUUUACUAAAGCAUUACCUCAAUAUCAGUUCAAUUUCCACUUAGAGAAGAUAUGUAUUAGAUACCAAGGCGAUUGAAUUUAGUGCAAUUAGGAGAUUGAAAGUAAUAUGCCCUCAAGCCAAUCACAUUGGAUGUGAUAAACAUUUACUUUGUAGUCUUGUUCAUUUAUUAAUAAAAUAAUUUAUUUAAUUAAAUGCAUUCUUUAUCCAUGUUUAAUUGGUUAAAUUAAAUAAAUAUGAUAAACCUAUAGUUUUGGAGCAAUACUUUUAGAAUCAUGAUGUUGAUUAUGCUAAUGAGAUCUAAAUUCUAGAUAGCUCGAAAACUAAAAUGUUCCUUGUUGUUGGAUCAAUAAUGUGGGAUUACUGAUUUUGGAUAGAUUAGUAAAUACUAUGCUUGCUCUGUUGAAGAGGAUGAUUGAUUUCAUAAUUAUUUGUGUGGAGACACUAAAGCAAGUAUGUAGGUGCUUAUUGGAGAAUAAGUUCAUUGAACGUGACUCGAUUAAAGAAACCCUAAUGAAGUUUUACUUGCUUGUCAAUGGGAUUUUCUACAGUGAUUGUAGUACAAGUAAUCCUUGGACUUGAGAUUGUUAUAAUAUCUUGUGUAUUCUGAGUUAUACUUUGUCAUAUUCCAUAAUACUUCAGAGUAUGUUAUAAGGUAUGUUCGGGUAUAAUAAAGUGUACAUGGAAGUAUGUGAAUGAUCAACAAAGGAUAUACCACUUCAAAUAAAGGAAAAGAAUGUCCUAUGUGAUUCGAUAAGUGACAACUCGAAAAUCUCUGAUCAUGGUUGAAUGAAAAUUAGAAAGGAGUUUCUAAUUUACAUUAACUAGAGUUAUGCAUUUUAGAAUCGAAAUACAUAUGAUUAAAUAAAUAAAACUUGACAGUAAUUCCAUGUUUUAUAUUUGAUUGGGACAUUGUAUGGUAGAAGAAAUGAAUGGUACAAAAACUAUUUACAAAAUAGGUUCUUUGUGAUUAAACGUUGAUUUCAUAUUAUUUGGAUAAUCACGAUACAUUAUUGUAAGGUGUCACUCAUGAUGUAAAAUAAAUAUUAUUUAUUAAUUUGUGUUUGAAUUAAAGGAGUAUAAUUCAUUAUAAAUAAUAUUAGAAUGAUUCUAAUUUAUUUAUUCUACUAUCGACUUAAUAUUGAACCUAAAAGGUCACACCAUAAAAGAGAAAUAUAAUUUUUGAAGUGAUUGACUUAAUAAUAAUAAAUUAAGUGUAUUUAAUUUAUUAGUGGAAUAAAUUAAAUAACUUAAUAUUUAUAAUUAAGUAUUUGGAGAAAUACUAAAUAUAAAUUAAUAAGAAGUAUUAUUAUUAUAAAUUCUUUAAUUCUUAAAUAGUAUGAGAAUUAAAUUAAAAGCCUAAAUCCUAAUAAGUUAGUCUAUAAAUAAGAGUGGUCUUGUUAUAGAAGGAAGUCAAUAUUUUGAUACAACGAAAGUAUUCUCAAAACCUAAAGAGUUAGGAGAGAGAGAGAAUUAAGUCUAGUCACCCAUGGUUUGGAGAAACCUAAAUUCACUUCAUCAAUUAAUAUUCUCUUGGUGGAUCACCUUUAGAGCGUUGCACACACUAAGUAGCUUGCGCUUGAUCCGAGAAAUUGGAGAAGCACGAAGGAGAAACAGAUUGAAGCUUGAAGAUCACAUCAAGGAGUUGAUCAUCUCCAUAAGGUAUAUCUUUUAUCCUUACUCAAUUAAUAAUAUUGCAUAAGGUAAUUCAUGGGAUUGCAGAAAAUUUUAAAUUCUAUAUCUAUGCAUGCUUUUGCUAUUUUAUAAUUUGAUUGUAUGUUUGUUCUUGUUUCUGCAAACCAAAACUUAGAACUAAGUCAUGGUGGUUAAUGCAUUCAUGAAAUGUAAAUCCAAAUAUGAAAAAAUCAUCUAUGGAUUUUUUUUGGAAUUUCUCUAUAAUAUUAGAAAAAAUGCCCAUCAUGCAUCUUUAAAAGGUGGUAGGGGAACUAUAUAGCCCAAAGGGUAGACGAAGAUAUGCAAAGGUUCCAUAAGGACAAAUGAAUGUAGUAUUUUCUCAGUCUUCUGGGGCUAUAGGAAUUUGAAAGUAGCCCGAGUAACCAUCAAGGAAAUAAUAGUAAGCAUGACCAGCUAACCUUUCUAGAAUUUGGUCUAUGAAAGGUUAAAGAAAAUUAUCAUUUCUUGUGGCAACAAUAAGUUUUCUAUAGUCUAUAAAAACCCUCUACCAGAUUGGACACAAGUGUGAAUUAACUCAUUAUCUUCAUUUUGAACCACAAUUAAGCCAGACUUUUUAGGUGCCACUUGAAUAGGACUUACCCAAAAGCUAUCAAAAAUGGGAUAAAUGAUCCAAUUAUCUAGACUCAAAAAAUUCCUUCCUAACUACCUCUUUUAGAACUGGGUUCAACCGCCUCUGUGGGUAUCUCACUAGUUUAGCAUCAUCUAUUAAGUGGAUCUUAUAUUGGACAAUGGCUAAACUGAUCCCCUUAAUAUCUGUUAUGCUCUAUCUUAUUGAUUCCUUGUUCUUUCUAAGGAUGGUCAAUAACUCUUCUUCUCGUGUGUUUGUUAAACCAGAAGAAAUGAUCACAAGAAGAGUUUUGGAGGGACCUAGAUAGACAUAUUUAAGAUUAUUAGGAAGAGGCUUGAGUUCUAACUCUGGUGGACUCUUUUCAAGAUGUUUUAAAGAUUUCAACAAUGGUUUAGUCACGAGUUCUCAUUUAUAGUAAAACAUGGAUGUGGAUGACUUUAACAUUUCAUUCAUCUUAUUUACAUAUUCUGUCUCAUCCCAAUUUUGACCAAAAUGAUUUAGACAAAAAUUAAGAAUUUCAUCUUCUCCCAUAAGUUCAUUUUCAGACAUUUCCUUAAUCAUGUUUACUUUAACGGGUCGGUCAUAAAAAUCACUAGGUUAUUUUCCCAUAUUAAACACAUUUAAGUCAAUUUUUAUAUUCCCAAAUGUCAAUUUUAUAGUCCAUUUUUACAAUUGCUUAACGCAUUAAAGGAUGCUAAAAUUGGUCUACCUAAAAUAACAGGAAUGUGACCCUUGGGAUUGGCAACAAGUUGGGUUUCAAGGAUAACAAAGUCAAAAGGGAAUAAUAAAUUGUCAACCUUAGUGAGUACAUCAUCAACUAUUCCUUUUGCCACUUUAACGAAACGAUUAGAUAGUUGGAGUGUGACAUUUGUCUUUUUCAACUCCCUUAAGCCCAAGGUUUGGUACACAUAAAAUGGUAACAGGUUCACACUAGCUUUUAAAUCAAGCAAAACUUUUUCAAUUAAGGUGUCACCUAUGAUGCAUAAAAUAGUAGGGCAACUGGGGUCCUUAUACUUAUAGGGACUUGACAUGUCAAGAUAGAACUAACAUGAACUGUUAGAAAAGUUUUCUUAAGAACAUGAGUGGCUCUUUUUUUUUGUGGUCAAAUCUUUUUGACAUUUAGCAUAUGAGGGAACUUGUUGAAUGACAUCUAGAAAAGGAAUAUUAAUUUUCACUUGUUUAAACACUUCUAGAAUUUUAUCUAACGACUGCUUAUUUGAAUUAAGUCUUUGAGAGAAUGGGGUUUUGGUUUAAAGACUUUUUCAUUUGACUCUGAAGAUGUGGUUUGAUCAUUUUUUGACACAUGCUUAGUAGAUGGGCCUAUUGACUCAGAGUUUGUGGGUUUUUCAAGUUGGGUUGACUGUGAAGAUGGAUUAUUAACAUUUAAUUUUUUUUCUUCAUUAUCAAUGUCAGCAUAAUGAUUGUUAAAAUAAUUUUCAGACCAAAAAGAGAUUACAAAAUUCAUAUGAUUGACUUGGUUGUUUUCAAGUGAAUUAGCAUGAUAAGGUUUUUGAUUAGGGACUAAAACUUUUGGAUUGGUCUCGAGUUGACUAGGAAACUUACCCAUCUUUCUUUCACUAAUUGUAUUGGCCAAUUAAUUGACUCAUUUGGAUCUCUAAACGAGAUAAGGUUUGGUUAGUAUUUUUCAUUAACGUUUUCAUGCUCUUCUCUAAAGUGCCAAGUCUUUUAUCACUUUCAUUAGAAAAACAUAAUGGAUAUUGAGUUGCUAUAUUUGAAUUUUGGUAUGGACCAUGAUUCGAUUAUUGGUAAGGUUGAUAAAAUUAAUUUAGAGACAGAUUGGCCUAAUUUGAAGAGUUAUUUAGGUCUGGUCCUUGGUUUCAUACAAAAUUAAGAUGGUUUCUCCAAGCUGGAUUAUAAAUGGGUGCAAAUGGGUCAUUUAUAGGUCUUUGAAACAUUGCAUUGAUUUGGUCAUAUUUUUCAAGUUGGGCCAUGACUCUAGGACAUUCAUCUAUCACAUGACUUAGUGAAUGUAAGACCCCAAUUUUUAUGAAUAAAGAUGAAUUUUCUAUAAAUAUUAUUUUUGAAUAUUAUGGAGUGAAUUUAAUAUAAUGUUAUAGCUGUGGGUAAUAUUUAUAAAUUUGUAAAGUACGCAAGUUGUGAUAUUAUAUUCGAUUGGCCAGGGAAUAUUCGUUUUAACAGGGAAUAUUCAUACGACGACACAAUCAUUGGUGGACCCCAUAACGGAAUUAUUAUCGGAUUGAGAAAAUGACAAAAAUAUCUUUUUAUAAAAAUAACAGCGAAAGUUUUACCGUUAACUGUUAGAAUACCCAUUGGUUAAAAUAUAGUAAUACGCGUUGUUGCACAGUAGCACACGGUAUUGCACAGUAUUUUUAAAUUAUUGAUUCUUACGUAAGAAGACAUUACUCAAUAAUUUUUACAGUAAUUACUGUUCAAUAUUUUAUUUUAUUGAUUCAAUAAUUUUUGCAUUGAUAUUUUAUAUUAUUGUUGUUUCAAUAAUUGUCACUGCACAGUAUUUUCUAUUAUCAAAUUAAUAAUUCAUAUUAUUUGAAUAAUAUUAUUAGAUAGCAUUAUUGGCAAUGUCUAAAAAGUUCUGUCAAGGAGAAGUUUGGUCACCUAAUUGUGCGCCAGUAAGGAGAAAUCCUUAUCAAAAAAGCCACAUCUUUCUUGGGAACGGCCUAGUUGUUAUUAUUGUGAUUCUGUAAUAUUAUUUGUGAAUAAUUAAUUAUUAAUUUAUAUGAUAAGAAAAUAUUUAUUUUAUAUGGACAUAAAUGAUAGAUAGGAAAAUAUUUAUUUUAUGUUGUUAUAAAUGAAGGAAUUAAUGUUGAGGUAUUUUAUCAGUAUUUUAUCGGAUUGGAGGUAUUAAAAAUUAAAUCGGUGUUCUUAAAGCUCUAUUGCGUGAGUUAUAAUUUUGAUCCGACCGUUGGAUCGUUGUGAUUUUUGAAUAUGUUAUACAUAUAUAAGUUGAGUAUAUGACCACAAAUUUUGAACUGUUAAAAAUUAACGUAUGAUUUGUUAUGAAUUUUAUGAGGUAUUGAAAAUCAUCAGUUUGUGGAUUUCGAAUAUUUUCUGUUUUGAAUUUGGAAAAAUUUUCUUCUGGAAAGUUGUAGAGAAUUCGAUUUCGUGUGGAAUGGACAUAAAAUUCGUAUUUUUGUGAUAAAAGGGCUCUUUAUUAUGAAUUAUUGAAGUUUUAGAAAUAAAUAUAUUUAUUUAAAACAUGGGUGGGCCCCACUUUUGAUUAGUGUGGAAAAUCUGAAUUUUGGUGGGUCCCACUUGUGGUGGCUGAAUUUUGGUCCAAGAGGUGUACGUAGAAAUUUUUUAAAAAUAAUAUUAUUUUAUUAAUUUAGUCUAUUAUGGCGUUCUAGCAUUUUCCUAUAAUUAGGCGCUUAAGUUAGAAUUGAAAAUCACACCAGAAUCAGAGAAUUCUUCUUCUAUAAUAUUGAGCGUAUUUCUUUCGAGUUUUAGAAAGUUUUGAGCAUAGAAAAAUAGUGAAAGUUUUCUUUAAGAAUAUCCCCGCUAUACCAAUUGGAAUACUCUUCUUUUCAAGGUAAAAGAUGUUAUUUUUGUUCAAUAUUCGCUUGAAAUAAUAUUUUUUUUUCAUAUUCUGUAGUAUGUAAGUAAUAUUAUUUCAUUUCAGAUUUUGAAUUCUAUACUCAUUUUGUUAAGUUUUGGCUUAUAUACUCCAUGAAAUUAGUAGAAUAUCCUUGAUAUUUGCGCUUCAUCCAAUAUCUUUUCAUGAAAAUAUUAUUCUGAGCAUUCUUGAUAAGUUUUAACUUUUUCAUGCCGGAAUACUAUUCACGGAGUUACUAUUUCUAAAAUACUAUUCACGGGGUACUAUUCACUCGAGUACUAUUCACCCGGGGUACUAUUCAUGAUAAAAAUUGAGUUAUUUUCGGUCCAAAUUAUUUUUGGUAUAAUAUUAUUCUUGAAUUUUACUUCAUAAAGCAGUAUCGUGUUGACAAUUUGGACGUUAUUGAUUUCUGGAUAAAUUAAAUUAUAAAUCUUUAAAAAUUUAUCCUUGAACUUGUUUUAUUGAAUUCUUAUAUUAUUGUAAUCAUCCUCAUGAUUUUAUUAUGUUGAAAGUCAUCUGUGGCCUGUAGUGCACAGAUGGACUUGGUAUAAUUAUGACCAGGGAUUAUUCGGAAUAAUCAUGACCGUAAUGUUACAAAUGAUGUGGUAAAAGUCUUCAUUGGCUUGUAGUGCAUUGAUGGACAGUUGUUGGCAUGAUCAUGACCAUUGAUGAAUACACGAAUAUCCUUGGCCCAUAGUGCAUGGAUAAUUUGUGGUCAUGAUACUAAUGAAUAUCCUUGGCCGUAGUGCAGGGAUGAUGUGGAUUAUUUAUUAAGCUGAGUCUCAGCGAUAAAAGUUAUAAAAACCUUUUAAAUCAUAGAAGAUAGUUGAUUUUAUUCUCUACUUGACUCUUCUAAUGGAUUGCUUGUUCCGCUGCAGUUAAACUUGAUAUUUGUUAUAUCUUAUCAGUUUAACACUGUUGAAGGCUAACGAUAAAUUAUUCUGCAUUAUCUUAGUUAAUAUUUCUUACUGGGUUAGUUGAGCUCACCCUUUUGCUUUCAUUUUCCACUUCAGAAAAUGAGAACGUAGCCGUGAAUAAUCGGGGAACAAAGUGACGGUCCAGAUGAUAGCAUUAGUAGUCCUCACUAUUCUAUAAAAUAGUGUGAUAAUAAAUGUAUUGAGGACUCCUUUUGAGUUGAAUAAUGUCUAGAAGACAAUAUUCGUAUUAAAACUCUCAGUUUAUGUUUUGCAGUAUGUCACACGACAAUUGUAUUAUUAAGUUGUAUUUGAAUUUUGUACCAUGUUUUGGCGACUCAAGAUGGGUGAUGUAUACCUAUUUUGGGGGCGUCACAGUGAAUUACACCUUAGAUAUAAAGGUGUUAGUGUUGAGACUUGGUUCACAUGUGAUGGUCCUCUAUAUAUUUUCUAAAGUAUCUAGUCUUUCAAGUACACCAUCAAACUUAGAUUCAAUGGCAAUUGAAUUGUCAAUUAUAUGAACACCCCUAGAUGAGUUAUGUUUAUUGAUCUCUCGGGUGGUUUUCCAUUACAUGACUUUUCUGCUAAGUCUACUAAAUACUCCAAAGUCUUUUCCUCAUUAUUUUUCAAAAACAUCCCCUUGACACGUUGACUCUAAAAUUGUUUUAGUGAGAUAGUCUAAACCUUCGUAGGAAAUUUGACACAAUCAUCUCCCUUUUUCAGUUUCACGUUGUGGGGACUGGGAUAACAAAUUUUUAAAUCUAUCAAAAUAUUUUCAAAAGGAGUACUCUUUUUCAAGUUGGCAAAAUUGAUGAAUUGCAAUCCUAAUUUUAGCAGUUUUAUGAUUUAAAAAAUAUUUUUUAGAAAUGUAACAAUAAAUCCCUCUCAGGUUGAUAUAGAAUUAUUUGGCAGACUAUAUAAUCACUUUUUAGCAUUAUCUUUUAAAACAAAUGUGAUAAAUCUUAGUCUAAUUGAGUCAUCAAACAAGUGUUGUAUUUUCAUUAAAGCAUAAACUUUCUCAAAUUCCUGAAUGAAUAAAUAUGAAUAUUCUAUACCAAUGAACCUAGGUAACAUAUUUAUAAAAUGUGGUUUAAAUUUAAAAUUAUUACUAGUUAUCGAUGGUAGAUUGAUGAAUGAAGGUUGAGCAGAGUGGGGAGGAUAACAUCGAUCCCUUAAAGAAACAGUUUGUGUGACCUCCAUUUUUCUUAAAAGUGAGAAUUUUUAAAGUGAACUCCGAAAAAUCAAGUUUUCUCACUAAUCAGGAUGUUUUGUCCCUGUUCCUCACUUUUUUUGCAUAAACGAAUAAGCACACAAAAACAAAUAAGAGAAAAUAGUAAUAAAUAAGAAAAAAAUUACUUCUAAGGUCAACCUAAAUAAAAUCUAGACAACUCCUAACUGUUUCAAGUUUCAUCUCAAUGUCCACUAAAUUCAAAAUUAAUCACAACACUAGCUAGUUAAGUGUAAGAAUGGUGAGAGUCUCUCCCGUGGAUACGGUGACUAAUUGAAUAACUACACGUUUUUAAGGCGAUUGCCUUUUGAUUUUAUUAAGUCAAGGUUAUGCAAGAUAUAAGUUGGGUUAUUUGUGGGCCAAUGAAUGGUGAUAAAAUCUCCACCUUAUCUUAUAAAGGUUUUUGCCCUUAAAGUUAGAUAAAAGAUUAAAAUGAACAAUUAAAAAAAAUUGUAAACAAAUAAAAUUUAUUUACAAAUAUUACAUACAAGACAGUUUUUUUUUGGGUUUACGUGUUGAGAACCUACACUAUUACCAAUUCAAUUGUAGAUAUAUAUUUUUUAUCCUAGGGGUCUAGGGGGAAUAUGAAAAAAAAAACUUACAUGUUUAAUCUUCUAUAUAUUCUACUGAAUUCCAAUAUCUUGAUGAGAGAUUUCUCAACUGAGGGAUACAUUUUUGCACAAUAAAAUAUUGAUUUUUACCAUCAUCUUUGGUCUACAAGGCAAGUUCUUGAUAUUUUUUUUUNNNNNNNNNNNNNNNNNNNNNNNNNNNNNNNNNNNNNNNNNNNNNNNNNNNNNNNNNNNNNNNNNNNNNNNNNNNNNNNNNNNNNNNNNNNNNNNNNNNNCCCUUCCGUGGGGCCCACGUCUUAUCCCUUAAAACAAACAUAGGCACAGAGCCUAAAUUGGGAAGAAAGUGGAUGUAGCUUUCAGCAAGCAGCAUACAAUUAACAUGGUGUGUGUAAAAAGGGUGAAAGCUCUCUACACAUCAUCAACAAAAUGUCCACAAUUGAUUAAGACAUGGGCUGAUAUCAACACCAAGUAAUCAGCAAUCCUCCCACAUAACUUUGGAACAAUGGGACCUAGGAUUAGGUGGGACCACCAUUCACUACAUUAGUAACUUUUAUUUUUAGAAUUUUAAGCAAAACAAUUACAAAAAAGAUAACAAAUGCAGUCAAUUGAAUCAAAGAUUUAUAAAUAUUAAAUCCCUUUAACUUCAGACCGUAUAAUAUUAAAAUUUGUAAAAUAUCUAAAAAAAAUUAUUUAUCAUAAAUUUUAUUAUUUUGAAUUAAAUUAAUAAAAUAUUUCAAAUUAACCUUCAAAAGUCUUAUUGAUUAUACAGAACAAAUGGAAUAAUUUUAUUCUAACUAUGAUGAUAAUUUGAGAUAUGGUGUUACCCUAUACUCAAGGGCGGAGUCAGGAUUUUUUUCCGCCCUGGGCUACCAAGAGAUAGAUCAAAGAGAACAUUUGCAGAACAAAUAGCUUAGGUUAUCUUCUAAUAACCUAGAACAUUGGCUAAUUCUCAAUUUUACACAUUUUAACUUGUUUGAGAUAAAUUCUCAAACACCAUGCCUACAACACUUAGAUUCCAGAAUUUCAUAAGACUUUAGAAGGGUUCUAACCAAAAAAAAUUCAAAUUGAAAAUCCCCAAAACCUAAAAAUUCAGAAAUUACAGUUAAAUACUGAAAUAGUUGCACCAUACUAAUAUCAUUAACUAAAUUACAGUUGUCCUUAUUCAAAUUGAAAAUUCCCAAAACCUAAAAUCAACCACAACCUAUCAAAAAGUUCAAUUAGUUUGUCAAAACCCAAAUCAAACAACAAGUACCAUCAACACUGCUAUAUAUAUAUAAUGCCAUCAAAAAAUUAAAACAAAGAAAAUCACAAACUAAAAUCCCAAAUCAGAUCAAGAAAAAAAAUUAAAUAGCAAAAAUUAAUAAUCAAGAAUCAAGAAUCUAAUUGUAAAAGAUAUAAAACAAACAACAAGUACCAGCUUCCAGCUUGCAGUUUUUUGGGCUCGUGUCAAAUUCAAUGUUUAACUAUUUCACAUUCAUCUACAACUAAAGAAAAGUAUCUAAAAAUACAAGUACCUAAGAUUCUUUUAAACCAUGUGCUUUAACUACAAGGACAACACUAACCUAAGUGUUGCAGACGGCAGACCUCUUCUCCUCCAGCAAUCUGCACAGCUCAAGGAGCUUCAGAAAUCAGAGCAGAGGCAGUCAGCAGAGGCGGAUUGGCGGAAUGGGAAAAAAAGGGGGGCAACUUCAGACUUCAAAGCAGAGAGGCAGUUUGGGCGAUUUUGAAGAGGGGUUAGGGUUUUUUUUAAUCUUACAUGAAACGACGUCGUUUCAUGUAAGAUUAAAAAAAAAACUAGUUGUUGCUGUGCUGCAGAAGAAGAAAGGAAGAAGAAGGCGGGCGGUUGCAGAAGAACUGAAGAAGAAAGAUGUGCUGCAAAAAAACUCACCUGGGCUAUAGCCCACCCUAGCCCAUACGUGGCUCCGCCCGUGCCUAUACUAUUAUAAAAAGAGAU